GACGGAGGGGGCAAGCGUUAUCCGGAAUUAUUGGGCGUAAAGGGUACGUAGGCGGCUGGUCAAGUCUGGGGUCAAGGCCCACAGCUCAACUGUGGGAAGGCCCUGGAAACUGACAGGCUAGAGUGUGGUAGGGGUUGCGGGAAUUCCCGGUGGAGCGGUGAAAUGCGUAGAGAUCGCGAAGAACACCUGAGGCGGAAGCGCGCAACUGGGCCUCAACUGACGCUGACUUACGAAAGCUAGGGGAGCUGUUGGG
rnacentral:rRNA from 1 species